rnacentral:rRNA from 1 species
UACGAAGGGGGCUAGCGUUGCUCGGAAUCACUGGGCGUAAAGCGCACGUAGGCGGCUUCUUAAGUCAGGGGUGAAAUCCUGGAGCUCAACUCCAGAACUGCCCUUGAUACUGGGAAGCUUGGAGUCCGGGAGAGGUGAGUGGAACUGCGAGUGUAGAGGUGAAAUUCGUAGAUAUUCGCAAGAACACCAGUGGCGAAGGCGGCUCACUGGCCCGGUACUGACGCUGAGGUGCGAAAGCGUGGGGAGCAAACAGG